GACGAACGCUGGCGGCGUGCUUAACACAUGCAAGUCGAACGGUAAGGCUCCAGCUUGCUGGGGUACACGAGUGGCGAACGGGUGAGUAACACGUGGGUGACCUGCCCUGCACUUCGGGAUAAGCCUGGGAAACUGGGUCUAAUACCGGAUAGGACCGCACCGUGAGGGUGUGGUGGAAAGUUUUUUCGGUGUGGGAUGGGCCCGCGGCCUAUCAGCUUGUUGGUGGGGUAAUGGCCUACCAAGGCGGCGACGGGUAGCCGGCCUGAGAGGGUGGACGGCCACAUUGGGACUGAGACACGGCCCAGACUCCUACGGGAGGCAGCAGUGGGGAAUAUUGCACAAUGGGCGGAAGCCUGAUGCAGCGACGCCGCGUGGGGGAUGACGGCCUUCGGGUUGUAAACUCCUUUCACCAUCGACGAAGGGUUUCUGACGGUAGAUGGAGAAGAAGCACCGGCUAACUACGUGCCAGCAGCCGCGGUAAUACGUAGGGUGCGAGCGUUGUCCGGAAUUACUGGGCGUAAAGAGCUCGUAGGUGGUUUGUCGCGUCGUCUGUGAAAUUCCGGGGCUUAACUCCGGGCGUGCAGGCGAUACGGGCAUAACUUGAGUACUGUAGGGGAGACUGGAAUUCCUGGUGUAGCGGUGAAAUGCGCAGAUAUCAGGAGGAACACCGGUGGCGAAGGCGGGUCUCUGGGCAGUAACUGACGCUGAGGAGCGAAAGCAUGGGGAGCGAACAGGAUUAGAUACCCUGGUAGUCCAUGCCGUAAACGGUGGGCGCUAGGUGUGGGUUUCCUUCCACGGGAUCCGUGCCGUAGCUAACGCAUUAAGCGCCCCGCCUGGGGAGUACGGCCGCAAGGCUAAAACUCAAAGGAAUUGACGGGGGCCCGCACAAGCGGCGGAGCAUGUGGAUUAAUUCGAUGCAACGCGAAGAACCUUACCUGGGCUUGACAUAUACAGGAUCGCGCCAGAGAUGGUGUUUCCCUUGUGGCUUGUAUACAGGUGGUGCAUGGUUGUCGUCAGCUCGUGUCGUGAGAUGUUGGGUUAAGUCCCGCAACGAGCGCAACCCUUGUCUUAUGUUGCCAGCACGUUGUGGUGGGGACUCGUAAGAAACUGCCGGGGUUAACUCGGAGGAAGGUGGGGAUGACGUCAAAUCGUCAUGCCCCUUAUGUCCAGGGCUUCACACAUGCUACAAUGGUCGGUACAGUGGGUUGCCAGUCCGUGAGGGCGAGCUAAUCCCGCAAAGCCGGUCUCAGUUCGGAUCGGGGUCUGCAACUCGACCCCGUGAAGUCGGAGUCGCUAGUAAUCGCAGAUCAGCAACGCUGCGGUGAAUACGUUCCCGGGCCU
rnacentral:rRNA from 1 species